rnacentral:rRNA from 1 species
CUUACACAUGCAAGUCGAACGGCAGCACGGGAGCUUGCUCCUGGUGGCGAGUGGCGAACGGGUGAGUAAUAUAUCGGAACGUGCCCUAAAGUGGGGGAUAACUAGUCGAAAGAUUAGCUAAUACCGCAUACGAUCUACGGAUGAAAGUGGGGGAUCGCAAGACCUCAUGCUCGUGGAGCGGCCGAUAUCUGAUUAGCUAGUUGGUGAGGUAAAGGCUCACCAAGGCAUCGAUCAGUAGCUGGUCUGAGAGGACGACCAGCCACACUGGGACUGAGACACGGCCCAGACUCCUACGGGAGGCAGCAGUGGGGAAUUUUGGACAAUGGGGGCAACCCUGAUCCAGCAAUGCCGCGUGAGUGAAGAAGGCCUUCGGGUUGUAAAGCUCUUUUGUCAGGGAAGAAACGGUGAGGGCUAAUAUCCUUUGCUAAUGACGGUACCUGAAGAAUAAGCACCGGCUAACUACGUGCCAGCAGCCGCGGUAAUACGUAGGGUGCAAGCGUUAAUCGGAAUUACUGGGCGUAAAGCGUGCGCAGGC